UACGUAGGUGGCAAGCGUUGUCCGGAUUUACUGGGCGUAAAGAGCGCGCAGGCGGUCGGAUAAGUCGAAUGUGAAAGCCCCCGGCUCAACUGGGGAGGGUCACGCGAUACUGAUCGACUCGAAGGCAGGAGAGGGAAGUGGAAUUCCCGGUGUAGUGGUGAAAUGCGUAGAUAUCGUGGAGAACACCCGUGGCGAAGGCGGGCUUCUGGCUAAUGACUGACGCUGAGGUGCGAAAGCUAGGGGAGCGAACGGG
rnacentral:rRNA from 1 species